rnacentral:lncRNA from 1 species
CCCAAGAGAUCCAAUGAUCAUAAUCACUUUGAUUUUGUUGACUCAAAAGUGUAAAGAGAUGUUUCAGUGCUCUGCGGGUACAGGUCCACCACUGGAAACUCAUCAAUCACAUCGCUCCAGGGGUUCAUUUUCUCACGAUCAAUAGUCCUAAUGGCUUUCCAAAACACACUACUACAUUUAAAGCCAGACCCAUAUGCAAUCUGCCACACACGAUCACCCCUCUUGAUCCUACCCUUGGCCUCCGCAUAGGCUAGUUCAUACCACACUGAACUACUCGAUGUAUUUCCAAACCUAUAAAAGGUCAUUCUAGAAGCUUCCAUUUGCCUCUCACUCAUCCUCAAGUUCUUUUCUACUUGGUCUAGUAUUGGCUUUCCACCCACGUGAGGGAAGAAAUGAUCCAUUGCAUGCUUGAAACUUGGCACGUACGGCUCGAUGUUUGCCAUAUGGAAAUACCUAAUUAAAUAGUUGACAAGAUAGAGAAAUCGUUCUGACGUGGGGAGAAUAAGGGGAGCCAGUGUGGCUAUAUUAGAUUUAAUGAUCUCGGAGGCCACGACCAAGAGAUCUUUGGUGAUGGUGAUACCCAUGUGGCCCUCAUGGUCCUCUUCUUGGAUGAUGCAAUUGUAUGAACGAUCAGAACUUGCGGUGUUGGUGUGGACGGUGUGGAUGAGUUGGUACUUGGAGCCGACACGAUCAGACGAACGAUUGGAGAGGAAAACAGCGACACCACCCAUGCGGAAAAUGCAAUUGCCGAUGAGCUUUGGUGGUUCGUUUCCCAUGUAGCAACCUUGAGUGAUAAUCUCUAUAGUCACCACUAGUGCAUACAAAUUACGAUGCACCUGCAUUAUUUGAAAAAUAAAUAAUAAAAUAUGAAACUCUUUUGUUUUUAUAGUGACAUGGUAAACACAAGACGAAAAUUCAUUUUCUUAUAAAAAAAUUAUUAAUAUUUUAUUUUUAAAAAUAUAAAGUAGAAAGUUUAUCCAAACAAAUAAUUACCUUUUUUUAUUUUAACUCUUAUAAUCAUAUUAAUUUCUUUUAUAUUAUGUUUGGUUCCCAAAAGUACUAAAUAAAAAAAUAAUAAAGAAAAUAAUUUUUUCCUAUCUUGUUAUAUUAUGAAAAAUAAAAAAUAAAUAUAAUUAAAAUUAAUUUAAAACUUAUAAUUUUUUAAAUUAUUUAAUUUUUAUGUAAAGAGUUAAAAAAAUGAUUAUAUAAAUAUGAAGAAUGAUUAAAAAUAAAAUAUUAAAAAUUUUAUUAUUAAAAUAUAUUUAAAAAUAUAAAAAAUAAGUUAAGAAGAUUUCAGGUAAAGUUAUUUUAAAAAUAUAUUUAAAAAUAUAAAAAACAAAGUUAAAAAGAUUUCAAGUUCUCAAAAGAGACUUUUUUUCACAAAAUACUAUUAAAUAAUUUUCAAAAACUAUGACUAUGUUUGGUAAUUGUUUCUUAUUCUUCAAAACAAAAAAAAUAAGAAAAUACGUUUGAUAAUUAGAAAAAUAUUUUUUAUUUUCUAUUCUUAAAAAUGGAAAACAUACUGUUUUCAAAUAACAUCUUUUAAUUGCUUAAGAAUUAUUUUAAAAAAUAAUUAUAAAAACAUGUAAAAUAAUUAUAUAUAUAUAUACACACACUAGAUAUAAAAAAUUAUCUUUAAAACAUAUUUAAAAACAUUAAAAUCACGGAAAAAACAUUUCAAGCUCUCAAACAAAUAUUUAUUUAAUAUGAAAGAAUAAUUUUCAAAAUUUGUUCUCAGAAAAUAAUUACCAAAUGAGAUAUAUUUCUUAAAACAGUUUUUGAAAACACUUUUCAGACAUAAUGUAAACAUAAAAAAUAAAAAGCCCAACCUUGAGAAGGUCUUUGGCGAGCCCAAUGGAUAAGAGUCCAGCACUGCAUCCCAUUCCACUAAGAUUGUAGCUCAAAACAUUCUCACUAAGCUUGUAUCUAUUCACAAUCAUGGAAGCCAGAGACGGAACAGUGUUAAAAAUACUGCUAUGCACCACCACUAUCCCUAUCUCCUCACCCUUCACCCCAGUCUUGCCCAGUAACUCAUCCACAGCUCCGAACACCACCAUCUCCGCCUCUUUUCUCGCCGCUUUCGUCGACGUAUCCAGCGGCUCCUUGAGCAGUCCCUCCGACAAGUACGUAGCCUCACCUAAUCCCGACGCCUUCAUUAGUUUCUUCAUGAAUUCCAGACUCUCGUCGGAGAAAUUCCCAUGCAACCUCAACCUCUCAAUCACCAUUUCCUUAGAGCAUGCCAAAGAGUUGGGAGGUUUGUAGCAUGCGAAAUCUACCAAGAAAAUUUUAGGAGAAGAGCCAAAGGCGAAAAGGCUUAACAUAAAAGCAAUUAGGGUUAAACCCACCAUGACGGCCGCUGGUAGGAUGAAAUCAUACUGGCUGAUCAGAAACCCUAAGAGAUCAUUUGAUAUGUAUUCAAGGAGAAACAUGGUGGAAUGGGUUAUGAAUGUAUGUAGUUUUUGGAUCAAAAAUGGCUAAAAACCAUGCAUUUAAAUAGCAAAAACAACAUUUAUUUAUUUGUUACGCUACAUGUAUGACAUCAUACAAUAUAGUGUUCUGCAACAUGUGUGGCAUCAUAUAAUAUGGUGUUACGUUAUGUCUAUCUAUGUUAGGCCAUGUACAGUUGUAACUAAACCAAAUUAAUUAGAAACCUGUAUCUAAAUGAUUAGUUUGGUAUUGUUAGGUAAUUAGUUAUGAGGUAUAACUAACUUCAAAUACAUAUGAAUAUGUAAAACCAAUGUUUUCAUAACCGAACCGGUCAUUGAACCAGAAAAGUUACUAGUUCACGGUUAACUGAUUGGACCGAUGGUCGAACUGCAAUCGAACUGGUGACGUAAAAAAUAUGUAAUUUAUAUAUUAAUAAAAUUAAAAAUAAUUAUAAAAAAAUUAAAAAUAAAUAUAAAAAAAUUAAAAAUCAAUAAUAUUAUUUUAUAUAUUUGAUAUUAUCAAAUUAAAUCAUAUUAAUAUUUUAAAUUUUAUUAAAUGAAAUAUGUAUAAUAUUUAAAUGUGAAUAUAUUAAAAAUGAAAAUUUAAACUAAUUUUAUAAUUUUUAAAAAUAUUAUAUUAUUUUUAUUUAAUAUUAUAAAAAAUUUUAAAAUCUAAUAUAUAUUGUUUUGUUUGGCAUAUUAGAUAACAAAUCGCAUGUAGCCGAGUGGUGUCCUGGGUUAGUUACAAAACCUGAGGUCUAAGGUUCAAAUUCUCUUGGGUGCAUUUGUUAAUUUUUUUUUCAUUGAUAUUAGUUAGCAAUCCCACAUAGAGGAAUAAUGGUGCAAAACAUGCCUAUAAAAGCUAUUCUCAUGAAGGCCAAGGCAUCAUUCCAUCUUGUGGGCUCAAAACUCAGCCCAUUAAUGGUUGGGGUGGGUAUGGGCUUUGUCAUAUUAAGACAUUGCCCAACAUGGGCUUUUGUCAAAAGUUUUUAUAAAUGGGGUCCUCAUGCCUACAAAAUGAGGAGCAACUUGAACCGUUUGGUUCGUUUAGAACCGUCCGAUUCCACCGUCCGAUUCCAUUGGUUCACCAGUCCGACCGCUGGUUUAGGCAGUUCGUGAUUGGUUCAAUGCUCAAACGGUUUAAUAGGGUAAAUCAGACCGGAAAUGUGACCGAUCAACCGUUGAACCAGUUAGACCAGCCAGUCCGGUUCGGUUUUCAAAACAUUGUGUAGAAAUUUCAGAAAUUUAAGAAACUUCUGUUUCACUCUGUUUUUAAUUUUAUUCCAUUUAACUUUCUUUCAAUUCUCACAUGGUAUCAGAGCCUGUAACAAUGGAAGAUCACUCAACCAAUGUGACUCUAUUGCAAGAUUUUGGAGAAAUUCCAACUACUGGAUCUGGUCUGAUUACGGGACAAAAUACUUUUCAGAUGAUGAAUCAAAUCAUUUUCCUCACUCGGUCAAUCUCUUACGAUCAAACUCGAUCACAAUAACUUCCUCAUUUGGCCCAAUCAAAUGCUUAAUAUGGUCAUUACAAAUGGGUUUGAUGAUAUUCUUGAUGGAACCCAACCAUGUCCACCACAUUUUCUACCUGAUCCAAAUUCUACCUCUGUCACAACAAUCAAAUCUCUAUUUGUAAAUCCAAAAUACAUCACUUGGCAACGUCAAAAUUGAUUGGUGAUGAGUUGGAUUUACUCCUCACUCACCGAACCGAUGAUGACUCAGAUCAUGAGUUACAAUACAGCUCAUGAAAUCUGGGAAUCUUUACGACGUAGUUUCACUUCUGCUUCUCAAGCUCAUAUAAUGGAGCUUCGUUUGCAUCUUCAAACUAUACGCAAAGGUGGCUUGAGCAUGCUUGACUAUAUGCUACGAAUAUGUAAUAUUUGUGACAAUCUAAUUGCUAUUGGAGAACUAGUGUUAGAGCAAGAUCAGAUUAUGGCAAUUCUGGGUGGAUUAGGCCCUGAGUACAAUCCUUUUGUAGUGACCAUUACUUCACGAGCUGAACCAAUCUCUGUUGAAGAAUUACAAAGUCACCUCAUGGUUUUUGAACGACAUCUUGAACGAUAAAGAUCUAUAGAAGAACAUACUCUAAUCUAAGCAAAUACUGCUCUGUUUCAGCAACAAAAGAACAGGAAGAAAACCUACAAUUCUAAUUUUCGUCCAAAUACCAGACAAAUCUCGAGAAAUGGUCAAUUUUCUGGUGGUAUCUUCCAUAAUUCUAACAAUCAGAAUUUUAAAACAAAGAAUUCUACUACUGGACAUACCAUAAACAAUAGUGGUAACUCAUCUGGAACUUUCAAGCCUCAAUGUUAAAUUUGUUCUAAGUUCGGGCACACUGCUUUACAAUGCUGGUAUUGAUUUAACUCUGAUCAUCAGCCAAAAGAUUCUAAGCAUUCCACUUCUAAUAAUCCUCAGGCUAUGACUGCAACUUCUACAACAAUGGGAAACACUUCUUAGUUUCUUGAUACAAGAACUACACAUCAUCUCACAUCCGAUCUUAACAAUUUAAUGAUCCAUAAUCCAUUUACCAAUGGUGACAAAGUAAUUGUUGGAGAUGGUAAGGGUUUAUCAAUUGCAAAUAUUGGUAAAUUUUCUCUUGUCUCUUCAAGUGGUUUUUUGGUUUUCAAUGACAUCUUGUGCGCAUGUUCCUUCUAUUAGAACCAACUUGGUUAUUGUGCAACGAUUUUGCUCAUACAAUGACACCUUUAUUGAAUUUCAUCCUUCUCAUUUUGUGGUGAAGGAUUAGAAAAUGAGACUUGCUCUUCUUGAAGGAAAAAUUGAGAAGAGCCUCUACAAACUUCUUGCUGCAACAAGAGAUGUUGGUCAUCUACUAGCCUUUUAUUCUACCAAUAGUCCUUCAGAUGUUGGUUUUUUUAGGCUCUAGCAUAAUAAACUUGGUCAUCCCUCUUUUGAUGUUGUUUCCAAAAUUUUAUCUCUUUGUAAAAUGCCUUUGAAAUUAAACAUGACAAUAAUAACUCUUUUUGUGAGUCUUGCCAGUUGGCUAAAAGCCAUCGUUUGCCAUUUGAAAGGUCCACUUCUAGAGCAAUAAAACAAUUUGGUCUCAUCCAUGUUGAUCUUUGGGGUGCAACUCCUAUAGUUUCUGUUAAUGGUGCUCGAUAUUUCCUCUUGCUAGUUGAUGAUUUUAGCAUAUUCUCAUGGUUGUAUCUUUUGGAAACUAAAGAUGAAGCUUUACUUAUGUUCUAACGUUUUCAAGCCAUGGUUGAAAGAUAGUUUGAUACUAAAGUUCAAUGUGAUGGGAGAGAGGUGAGUUUUAGGCCUUUUAGAAUUAUUUAGCUACAAAUGGUCUUCUUCAUCAAGUCUCUUGUCCUUAUACUCUUCAGCAAAAUGGAAGAGUUGAAAGGAAGAAUCGUCAUGUUGUGGAAGUUGGUAUUUCUUUAUUAAUACAAGUUGGUAUGCCUCUCAAAUAUUGAUCAUUUGCAUUUCAAACGGCCAUAUUUCUCAUAAAUCAACUUCCUUAUGCUAUUCUUUCACAAAAUUCUCCUUAUGGAGUUCUUUAUAAUCGUUUACCUGAUUAUACAUCUCUUUGAAGUUUUGGGUGUUUGUGUUUCUCUUAUCUUUGUCCUUGUGUUUCUCACAAGAUGGCAAAUAGAUAUGUUGCUUGCUAUUUUUUGGGCUAUAGUGCUAAGCACAAGAGAUUUCUCCGUUUGGAUAUGGCUUCCUCCCGGAUAUAUGCUUCCUGUCAUGUGUAUUUGAUGAAACUCAAUUUCCAUUUUUAACAAAGUUUUUAUCCUCUCAACCAGUAUCAUCAUCCAACUAUUCUUCAACACUUCUUGAUUAUGGUAUUCUCUCUAUUCUUACACAAUCUUCAAGGAAUCUUAAUCAUCAUCAACCUAAUUUUUCUUCUCCAAUUACCGUUCCUACCAAUUCUACUCAUAUUUCCACUUCGUCUGAUUUCCCAUUAGUCCCAUCUAAUCCACAUUAUUCUCCUACUUUACCACAAUCCUUUUCUCUAGCCUCCAAUGUUGAUCCUCCUUUACUUCCAAACCGAACUAUUGUUACUCGUAGCCAAAGUGGUAUUUUUAAACCUAAAAAAAAAUAUUCAGCCUUGUUGUCCAAACUACUGCUCAUGAACCCUCCUCUUUCAAAGAAGCCAUGUUGCAUCUUGACUAGCAAGAUGCUAUGAAGACUGAGUAUGCUACUCUUCCCACCAAUUCCACAGGGUCAUUGGUUCCUAAACCUAUUAAUAAACGCAUAAUUGGUUGUAAAUGGAUAUACAAAUUGAAACUCAAAGUUGAUGGCUCAGUUGAUCGUUUUAAAGCCCGCUUAGUUGCAAAGGGUUUUAAUCAAACAUAUGGUAUUGAUUAUUUUGAAACCUUUUGCCCUAUUGUUAAACUAACUACUAUACGACUUGUUAUUUCUCUUGUUAUUUCUCAUGGUUGGUUAGUGAAACAAUUAGAUGUUAAUAAUGUUUUUCUCAAUGGUGAGUUAGAAGAAGAGGUUUACAUGGUUCAACCUCCAGGUUUUGUUGAUCAUUCUAAACCCGAUGUCGUCUGUAAACUUCAAAAAGCCUUAUAUGGUUUUAAGCAAGCUCAUCGAGCAUGGUUCACCAAAUUAAAGAACUCAUUACUUGCUUGGGGUUUCUCUUGUUCUUUAUCUGAUUCCUCUAUGUUUCUCUUUCGGAAAGGGACUGACAUGAUCAUUAUUCUCAUUUAUGUUGAUGACAUUAUUGUUACUGGUUCUAAUUCCAUGUUGGUACACCAAGUAGUUUCUUCUUUACACUCUUAGUUUGCUUUCAAGGACCUUGGUAUUCUGAAUUACUUUUUAGGUGUUGAAGUAUGUUGGCAAGGAUCUUCUCUUCAUCUUUCCUAAACCAAAUAUAUUCAGGACUUGCUAACUCGUGUUGGUUUUGCAGAUUGUAAACCUAUUGCUACACCAAUGACUACCUCUCACACUUUAUCUGUCUCUGAUGGUUCUCUAUUGGCUGACCUUUCUCAAUAUUGCAACAUUGUUGGAGCCUUACAAUAUUGUACCAUUACAAGACCUGAUAUAUUUUUCUUUGUUAACAAACUUUGCUAUUCAUGCAAUCACCAACUGAUCUUCAUUGGCAAGUUGUUAAACAGUUGCUGUGAUAUCUCAAGGGCACUACUUCCUUUGGUCUUUCUUUCCAUUCUUCUCUUGAUCAUUAACUUACUGCUUAUGCUGAUGUUGAUUGGGUUGGUUGCCUUGAUGAUUGUCGAAGUACAAGUGGUCAUUGUAUCUUUUUUGGCUAUAAUCUAGUCUCUUGGAGCUCUUGUAAGCAGAAGGUUGUGUCUUGUUCUAGCACUGAAGCUGAGUAUAGGGCCUUAACAAAUGCUGCUUUUAAACUUUAGUAGAUUCAACAUCUUCUCUAGGAGCUCUUUAUCUCAUCUCAUUCUUCUCCUAUUUUGUUAUAUGACAAUCUUUUAACCACUUUUCUUGCUAUCAAUCCUAUUUUUCAUUCUCAAGUUAAGCAUGUGGAACUAGAUUGUCAUUUUGUUCAGGAAAAGGUUAUCAAUAAGACUGGUGGUUCAACACAUUCCUUCUUGUGACCAGAUUGCUAAUGUUCUUAACAAAGCCUUACAUGUUCAACAAUUUCUCAAUCUACGAAGCAAACUCACUAUUCUAGCUAAACCUUUGAGUUUGAGAGGGGAUGUUAAGCCAUGUACAGUUGUAAUUAAACCAAAUUAGUUAGAAACCUGUAUCUAGAUGAUUAGUUAUGGUAUUGUUAGAUAAUUAGUUAUAAGAUAUAGUUAACUUCAAAUACAUAAAAAUAUGUAGAAUCACUUCUCAAAAAGAAGUAGAAAUCUUAGAGAAUAAAGUUUUUCAAAAGUUUAAGAAACCUUUGUUUCACUUUGUUUUCAAUUUUAUUCCAUUUAACUUUCUUUCAAUUCUCACAAUCUAUUCAUCUUUGGGUUGCAAAAUUCAACCAUGGACCAAAAUUUUCUAAUAAGAAUGACUAUAAGUAAAGUCGUUGGUUUUUUUUCCUCUUUUAUUUUUUUGAAAGCGUCGUAAACCCUUCUAAUGUGUUUCAAAGUUUAUAAUAAAGAACAAGAAAAAGAAAAUUUUCAUAUUUUUUAUUUAUGACAACAUUCGGGUUAUAAUUCAUUACCAUAAAAUAUUAAAGUUAUAUUUAGUUAUUAAAAAUUUGGAGAAAAAUGUGAAAGGAUGAAAGCAAAAAAGAAAAAUAAACGUGACAGAAAAUGAAAAAAAUAAAGACUUAAAAUUAAUAAAUUAGAUAAAAGAUGGUGUACGCUACGUGAUGCGUGGGUGAUGUAAGCUAUGUCCAUCUGUUCAUGUGUGGGUGACAAAAGUCAGCAGUGGACCAAAUUUUUUUUAGUAAGGUGUAUAAGCACAGUUAUAGUUUUUUAUUUUCUUUCGUUUUUUAUGUUUUGGAAACAAUGUGAUUAACGCUUCUUAUUUGUUUGAAAACCCAUAAUAAACAAUGAGAACAAGAAAUUUAUCAUUUUUUUUUUUAUUACAACUUUUAGUUACAAUUCAUUACCAUAAAAUACUAAGUUAUGUUUAGUUAUUAGAAUUUUUGAGGAAAAUGUGAAAGGAGGAAAGCCAAAAACAAAAAUAAAGGUGAAAGAAAAAUUUAAAAAUUAAUAAAUAAAUAAAAUUAAUAAAUUAUUUCUAUAUUUUUCUUUAAACAUAUUUUUCUUAUUUUUUUGUAAAUAUAAAAUUUUGAGGAAAAUGGGAAAGAAAAAAAUAAAAAUAAAGAUAGAUAAAAAAUGAAAAAAAAAAAAAGAAUUAAAUCAAUGAACCAUUUUUACUUAAUUCUUUAUACUCAUUUUUUAUUUUUAAUAUAAAGAUUAAAUAAUUUAAAAAUAUAUGAAUUGUUACUAUUUUCUACCAUAAAUCAAGCAUAAAAAAAUAAUUAUUUAUUUUAGUAUUUUAGAGGACCAAAGAUAGCAGCAUAAUAGGUCCAUGCACUUUUCCUUGGUGCUUGGGAGAAAACAUCAAUUUUCUGUACUAAAGGGUUAAUAGUGAUUUUCAAGAGCACAAAAACGAUGCUUUGUUGCAAAAAGCCUAAAACAUCACUGAAAUAGGUCCAAGUUGAAACCAAAGUUUUGAUUUACAUUUUAUUUUCACUCACCCACUUCCUUAAAAUAAAUUAGGUAUUUAAUGAAAUUUCAAACCGACAAAAUAUAUUUUGUUAAAUCCUAAAGAAAGGUAAUUGAAAUUAAUGCUUAAUAAAUAUUAAAACAUAAUAAGUAAUAAUAAACGAAAUUGAUUUUUUAUUCCCAAUUUUCCAUUCUGGUGUUAUACUAGUAAGAAAAUUGUUAAACUUGAAUUUAAAGAAGAUUAUAGAUAUUAUAGAAUCAUGUUAAUUUGUAAUUUUGUAUGGUAGGAAAAAUUAAUUUUGACAAACAUUAAUAUUUGUGUGAUAUAAUUCAGGUUAAAAGUGAAAAUAAUAUAGAAGCUAGUAUAUACCAUACAACUUUUUCCCUUUAUUUAAUUUUUGAAUGGUGAAUAGGGUCUACUGCAUGCAAUUAUCUGUUAUAUUUAGUGACUCCACCUCUUUCCAUCCAUCUCUCAACCAUAAAAUUAAGGAAUGAGACCAAUUGCAAAAUUAAGAUAGUGUAUAAGAUUGACUAUUGCUAAAAUUGUAUAUUUUGUGACUUAGAAUUGGACAUGAGACUUAGCUUCAUCUAUUCCUCAAUCAUUGAAUAGUGAAUGGUGGUCCACCACAUGUAAUUAUCUAUAACAUUUACUAACUUUACUAUUAGGAUAGAGCCUUCAAAAACAUAAAAUUAUAUAAUAAAUUUAGAAUUCAUCGUUCAUUUAAUGAUGUUUCAGUUUCACUUUUAUAUAUCAUUAUUACAUACAUUAUACUUUAUGAGAGCAUUCUUACUUGACAUAUUUUAUAUUGUAGAUGACUUAUAUGCAUUAGGAGUUGUAUGAAAAAUCUAAAUCGUGAAUUCCUUGCAAGUAGAUGAUUUAUUAACAAUCGUUUCAUGGACUUAGACAAUCCAUUUAAGAUUUUAAUACUUCUAAAUUGGAAGAAUAAUUGAUUUUGAUCAUCAAGAUGAGGUUCCCAUGGUGAGCACACUAAUGUGUACAACUACACAUUGCAAAUAUUUAUCUAAUUUAGAUGUAUUUAAUGACAUAAAACAAAUGAUGAUAUACAUAAGUAUUUUUUUUAUAAAUCUAUAUUUAAUUAUUAUGCAAAAUAGACAAUAUUUAAAAUUAUUUUAUUUACAAUAAUUUUAUUUUAAUUAAUGGAUAAUAUAUAUAUAUAUAUAUAUAAGAAAUUUAUAUUUAUGAAUUUUAUAUAUAAAAUCUGUAAAUGUAUGAUUUGAAACAAACAACAAAGUUAGCUUGGUGGCAUCGCCCAUACAUGCCUGAGGUCAUGGGUUCUAAUUAAUGAAUAAGUCAAAUGUGUCUAGUAGGCUAAGCUGGGCUUCGUCUCAAAGGAGUCACAGUAUGGGAGAUAGCUGUUGGGUUGGGCCAUAAAAGCCCAUUGCAAAAUUUUGAUUUGACAAUCCAACUCAAAAAAAUAUGUGAUGUGGCAUAAAAAUUGUCAAAAAUUCGAUGAAAAAAUAUAAAUAAAAGGAUACAUCAUAUGGUCGAGAUUUUAGGCGUAGUAUCGUAUUGGCCACUUUCAAUACAUGAUAUUUUGACAAUACAUCCUCUAAAUUUCGCAAUAUUUUAAACUUUGGCUCAUAGUCGUCAAUCACAUCCUUCAAGUCGUUGAAAAGUUUGCUAAGGAAUAUAGAGGUGCCACGUUAUGGACAUGAAGAUUAAUGUAGGUUCUAAUAAUUGAAACAAGUCCAUUAUAGGAUGACUUUGAAUGUGGCUAAAAAGUUUUUGGGCAAUAAUCCCAAAGAAUAAAUGAGGUGAAUAAAACAAUAUUAUAUGGGUCCAAUACAUCACAUCCGUGAACACUUCUAAUUAGCUUUCAAUUCAAACUUAAUGUUAUAAAUUAGGUGAUUAAGAUCAAACUCUAAAAAUACUAUCAACAAGAAAAUCACCUUUAAUUUUUUAUUGAUAAAAGAAUAUAUAUAUAUAUAUAUAUAUAUAUAUAUAUAUAUAUAUAUAUAUAAUGAGUUUUAGAUUUAAAGCCAAAUAAAAAAGUUCACAAAUGAUGUACCAAGUUCAUAAAUGAUAGUGUCUCGAUAUAUUAUAAUUUUAAAAAAUAUAGGUCUACAUGAACAUCUUAUCUCCAUCAUUCAACCACAACAAUCUAAGAGUGCACAAUGUGUGAUAUAGGUGUAUUCAACCACCCUCCCAAAAAUAUAGGUCUACAUGAACAUCUUAUUUCCAUCAUUCAACCACAACAAUCUAAGAGUGCACAAUGUGUGAUAUAGGUGUAUUCAACCACCCUCCCAAAUCAUGAAAAUAAGGCAAAAGAACACUCUUAACGUGAAUAUUAAUUUGUACAAAAAUUUGUGGUAUACUAGUCUUCUAAUGAUUGGUCUUCAUAAGCAGCUCUCAAUUAGUAUGUCUUUACUAAUAUGUUUCCAUGCAUUAAGUGAUCCUCUAAUGGCAAUUGCAUGUCAUGGUCGGUCUCCAUAAGCCGCUUUCAAUUGGUAUGUUUAUUUUUACUUCUUUUGCAACUAAGGCCUUGCUUAGAUUGAUCUUUAAGAAAUUUAUUUAUUUAUUUUUAAUUCAAGAAAAAUUAUGAAUUUAUUUAGGCAAUUUUGUUCAAAGAAAUUAAUUUUGUUUCUUUUUAUAGAAGUUAUAUCAUACUUUGGCUUACACCAUAAGUUCCUUUUAUUUUUAAUUAAGCUUUUAUAAUAUCAAUAUCGACAGUUAAAAAUCAUGACAUUGUUUAGCACCUAUCUCGACAUGCCCUAAAUUUAGAAGUCAAAUCUUAUUGAAGGUGUUUGAAUAAAUGAUAUGUAUACUAGCUUUUCAAGAAAGAGAAUGGAAAUGAGAAAGAAAGAAAGUAGAAAAAAGAAAAAUUAUAAAUAAAAUAAGAAAUUCAAUCAAAAUAUUUUUAAAACCUAUCAUGAAAUGGAAUUAUAAAAAUAUAGAAUUAAAUAUAUAUUUUCUAUAACAUCCAAAAAAAAAAUUAAUAGCGAUGCUAUUGUUUUCUAAACAAUCCUAUUUCAAUUUUACAUUUAAAAAAAAUUACUUUUUAUCUUGCAAAAAAUUGAGAGUGAUUUAGAAUUAGCCAUGUAAAAUUUUGUUGGACUUAUCCCACAAAAAUGAAAUUUGAAUUAAAAAUAUUUUUUUAAAAAAUUGAUAAUCAAAUAUAACAUUAUGUUAAUUACUUAAAUGAAUUGCAAUAACUCAUUCUUUAUUUCUUAUUCAUGGGCCUGAAGCCCAACAUGCAAAUAGUAAUCAGCCCAUGGAGAUCUGAUGAUCAUAAUCACUUUGAUUUUGAUGACUCAAAAGCAUAAGGAAAUGUUUCAGUGCUAUGCGGGUCCACCACUGGAAACUCAUCAAUCACAUCGCUCCAAGGAUUCAUUUUCUCACGAUCAAUGGUCCUAAUGGCUUUCCAAAACGCACUACUACAUUUAAAGCCAGACCCAUAUGCAAUCUGCCACACACGAUCACCCCUCUUGAUCCUACCCUUG